rnacentral:tRNA from 1 species
GUGGGUGUAGCUCAGUGGUAGAGCACGUGCUUAGCAUUCGUGAGGUCCUGGGUUCCAUCCCCAGCACCUCCU